GAAGAGCCGACAGAAGAAGCAGCACUCGUAAAUGGCUACCCAACUGAUCAGAAACCAGCUACGUCAGGUAGAUCAGCUUGUAAAUCCUUUCUCUCGUGGCUGCUGUUCGUGGUUGUUCUGCUACUGGCAGUUAUAAUCGGGAUCAGCUACUUCUGUGAGGAAGCGGGGAAGAAGAAUGUUUACUGCAAAACUUACUGGCAGCCGUCCAAACAGAUGGCAAACCAAUACACAACGGUUUACUGGAAGCCAGCGAAGAACUUCAUACGGAAGAUGUACGACACAGUUUGCUUACAGUUUAAAGAGAUCAUGGACAAUUUUACCGACAGCCCGACGAGCGACCACGACAGUUUUGCUAAAGUUCCUAAAGAUUCAGACUCUGUAAAAUGACAGAACGUUGGGAUUAUCUUACCAACACUAAUGAAUAUUUAUGUUCUGUUUGUUGAUUGGCUGUAUUCAUCCGUUGUUGUUCCUUUUGUCUAAAUUGAUAACAGUUAAUUUAAAGAUGGUGAUAUGGGAAAUGUGCAACAGUUCAAAAUGUUUGUAAAAUUGUGUACCAUAAUUCCAGUUGUGAUGCAAACCUUUGCUUAUACAUAUUUUAUAGAUAGUAAACUAUAAUACCAUACAAAUGGGUUGAGUCUGACUAAAACUUUGAGUCCAGACAAUGAAUGUUUAACACCCCCCCCAAUAAAGUCCAGAUUGUAAAAGUUUUAAAUGUUACAACCAGAAAUACCGAGCUGUAAAUUACCUAGUACAUAGAUUGAGUAUUCAAUACAUAAAUUAACAUAUCUUUUUCCAUCUGUGAUUAUUUUAUUGUCUCAAGAGUCAUGUGCAUGUCACUUUUAAAAAAAAGAAAAAAAAAAGAGAAAAAAAAAAAGGGUGAAAUGAAAAGAAAUAAUAAAGAGAAUAGUUAAAAAAUGGAAGUGGAAUAUUUUGGUGAUGUGUAUUGGCUAUGUUUGAUGCAGGGUCAGUAAAUAUUAUUAUUAAAUCAACAAGAAUCAGACCAUUUAUCAGGACUAGUUAUAGCACUCGCCAAAUUGGCUAAUUACAAUUUUUAAAAACAAUCAGCUAAUUAUAAUUUGGUGAAAUAAUUUUAUGUAAUAAUUGAUAUUUUGUUGGAAAAUAACUGGUUUGCUGCAGGUUUUGAAGUCUGAUAAAUAAUUGUCCAUUUUGUUUUAUUUGUAAGAGCUAGUUCAUAUUUAUACAUGUAUUUACAACUGGUGUAAUAUUUUGAGUAUAAAAUAACUAUAAUUAAUACUUUAGUUCAUCUUGAAGUUUCAGAUAUGGAUGUAUGUUGGGUGUAGUGUUUGGUUGUGGUGAGAAAUGAAAAUUUAUACAUUUAGUUCAUCCUAGCUGUCAUCAUAUCACAUUUGUUGUUAAUAUUGCAAGAUAUUAUUGAAUUAUGGCUAUGUAACUUGAACUGGUUUGCUAAAUGCAGAGCUCGAAAUAGCAACCUGAUAAAAGCAAAAAGCUGUUAAUUUUUCAGACGUUUUUCAAGAGAUGUAUAAUCAGACCAUCUUGUAUGUUAUUUAGUUUGUGAUUGUGUUAAAAUAUAUUUCCAUAAUGCUCAAAAAUAUAUGUCAACGGUCCUUAGCCGAUUCACAUAGUUUACGGAUGAUUUUUUUUUAGUUCAAACCCCGAUGAACUUAAACGAAAUAACAGACAAUACUUAAUUAGCUCACAUAAUUAGUAAGUUAGUUACUUUGUAUGUACCAACCUCUGUUAUUUAGGGCUGAUUUUAGGACAUUAAAACAGGUAUCAUUGUUAAUAGUAUCUGCUAGUCUAGUACAUCUGUUGGAUAUGGGAAGAGGUCAUGUUGAGUUUAAGAAUUAUAUAUUUUAGUAGUUUUAGCUUUUUCUGUUAUUAAGGAGCAUUUAUUUUAUAUCUUAACAACAAAGCUGGUCAGAAGAACAUUUUACCAAAUUAUCUGUUGAAUUUUAAAAGUUUCAGAAACCUAGUUAUUUUUUAAACAAAAUAUCAGUUAUUUCAUUAAAUUAUUUUGCCCCCCCCCCCCCCCCCCCCCAAUUGCCAAUUGUUUUCAAAAUUCACAUUGGUGAAUUUAGCGAGCCCCAAAGGUAACCCUAUAAAGGGAGAGUUAUGUUUACCUGUUUCUCCUGAUUGAUCUAUUGUGAUCCACAGAUGAAUAGAUUGGCACAAUUCCCAUGUCACUACUUCCCUUUGUGUAGGACUUACUCUAAUAAUGCAUCUUUAGAUAUCCUAUUGGUGUUUCGGAUUAAACACUUUACUUUGAA
rnacentral:lncRNA from 1 species